CCCAAUGUUCUACCUGGCCCUGCCAGUCCGUGGUGUUCACCAGGAUGACAUUCUCAGGGAGCGCUGCAUCGGAAACCAGGAUCUGAUUCAGUUGAUCGUAUACCACCUUUCGUGGAAUCUGUAGGAACAAGUUGGGCAGGAGAACAGCACGGAUGGCUUCUUGCCCUGGUUCUGAUACCAGUGUUACAUGAGGACACACACACUCCUCAACUCUGGUUUAUGCUCACGACUUCAACUAACCUCAGGGUUGAGAGGAGCCUAAGAAGAGCUUGGAAUAACCAUGGCAGCAUUGGCAGAGGAGCAAUGCUAAUGGUUCUUUUCACCACCACUCAACUGGACCCCAAAUUCCACACGGCAGAGGAUAACAAGUGUGGUGGCUUCUCUAACUUAGAUGUCCCAGAAAGAAGUCAACAUCCCUCCUUAUUCUCCACCCAGCUGUCAAAGAAACAGACUAAAAUCCAAGAAAGGGGUCCUGAACCUGGAGGAACCCAAGAUUACCUGUGUGCUGUGCCCUAGGUCAGGAGAGCGCUCACUGUCAGAGCUGUUGGUCCUCUCACUCAGGGGCUUGGAGAGCUGCCGCUCCUUCAGGGGAGUGCUCCUCUUUUGCCGAGGUGUGUGUGUCCCUUCCACCUUGCUGAUAGUAUCAGGAAGAGGGUUAACAGCCAUUACAACCCCAAAGUCACAUGAGCCCCACCAUUCCUCCCAACAUGUAGCUGGUACUGAGUGUGACUGCAGGAAGGGUCAGUUGCCUCUGUCCUUCCUCACUGGGUUACCUCGGCGAGGCGGAGCCCUGCAGAUCAGCUUUGCUGGACUUCAUAGGAGUUUUGACUUUUUCUGGUACAACCAGACUUGUGCUCGCAUCUCCAAACAUGUCCUGGUCAGUGAUUUCCUGCCACAAGAAAGGUGGCAAAGAAUGUUACCUCUUACUUGAUAACUGCAGGAGCCUCCACAGAGCCCUGGGAAGAUCACCACUUUCCUGGAAGUACUGUGUGUGAGUGGGAACACAGGCUUCUAGUGUCCUUAUCACACUCUUGUCCCCCUGUGCUGGAAGCCGUGUGCUCCCAUCCACCUUUGGCUCCAGCUCUGUGGAUAGCAUUCUAGCCUAGGAGAGUGACUGAUGCAGCACAGCUGGAGCUCAGAGGGGGACUGCCAUCUGCACCCCUGGAACUAGCUUCUCAUUAGGGCAGGCCUGUAGUUUUGAGGUUUUUGUCUACAUUCCUCAUCUUAGCCAGAGUCUUGAAAUCUUCCUUCCCAUCUGCAGCACAGCUCCUGUCCACUCCAUCUUCCUUGGCUUUCAGGCCCAUCGCUUCCUCCUACCCUCUGGGUUCAGAGCUUUGCCUUUCCUUCUGCAGAGAGUCCUGCAGCUCACACCAGGUCAUCUUCCCAAAGUACAGCCGCAGUCCCACCAGGAUAUGACUCAAACUGCACCAACAGCUCUGCCCUGCUUCAGGGCCUUUGAAGACUCCCCAACCGUGGGUCACUUCCCCAAGUCAAUCUCAUCUCUUCAAGUACUGCUUUCCAAGUACAUCGAAACCUGCUUACCUACCUACGUCUUCCUGUCUACCUUUCACGUUUUUUAAGCAUCCAUUCCUUGAGGAAUAACUUUUACAAGUACUUAAAUCUAAAAUACAAACUUGAUUUAAAAAAAAAAAACAAAGGGGCUGGGGAUUUAGCUCAGUGGUAGAGCGCUUGCCUAGCAAGCGCAAGGCCCUGGGUUCAGUCCCCAGCUCCGAAAAAAAGAAAAACAAAACAAAACAAACAAACAAACAAAAAAACGUGAGACAUGGUCAUAUAUAUCCUAGGCUCCGAGCUCCUGAUUCUAUGCCUCUAACUGCUGUAGAUACUGGAACAAUAGGCAUGUGCGACUACAUCCAGUUUCAUGCUGUGCUAAGGCCUAUGAAUGUUAAGCAAGUACUCUGACAAACUGAGUCAUUUCCCUAGCGCCAACUUUGAAUAUGCAUGGCUAGGGAUGGAACUCAAGACCUCAAACACACAAAAAAAAUUUUUUUUACUGAACUAAAUUUUAAUGUAAACAGAGCCCCAGAGACCAUUAGCUGAAUCAAAACAGAGCAUUCCCAUACACCUGGAUUAUCACUUGCCUCUUUCCACUUCCACAGUUAAGUAACCUAACUUCCACGUGGAUAAGAAAACCUUAUGGCAUGCAUCUGCCUUCUUUCUUGGACAUCAAGUUAAGAUUCAGUUUGAGAUUUGGUCAGUCACUGGAGAGUCAGAAUCAGAAAGUGACAUGAUUGAAAUUGCACUUUGGAAAGAUCGCUGCUAGUACUGGUCAUGAGCAGCAAUGGGGAAAGAGGAGUUUAUUUCAGUUACUAAGCGAUGAAGUACUAGUGCAGUACGUUUUAAUCUUGGAUAGACUUAAUGCUUUCUUGUUUUCAAGAUGUGCAAUGUAGAGGUUAUUUACUAUAGAAAACAUAAGCCUAAAUACUACUGGACUCAAUUCAACCACUAAAAGGCCUUGCCUGUCUCAUAGGGUACAUUCCCAGGUAUCCCAUGAGUGUAGCCAACUCAGAGGAGCUCUCCUCCCAGGGCCUCCAUUGAGCCUUGUCCAGGUUUGCACAGGUGCUUCCCCUGGAGAGAGGCCUGGAUGUCAUCUUUGUGUUCAGCAUUAGAGGUGCACAGUAGCAGUUAAAGGCUUAGGAGACGGUGCCUAGCUGACUCCAUUCUACUUCAUGGGCUGUUAACUUGCACUCCUAGCCAGUUCUAGCAUCUCCUGAAGGAGAAGUUGACCAGUGACCCUCAGAGACUUAAUGCCACUAGCUUCCUGGAUACUGAGAAGGCAACAGAGAUGGGAAAGGGGGCAGCUCCCCAGGGUAAGACAUUGGACAUCGUCUUUCAGAGGUAAAUGAGUGUGAUGAUAAAAACAAACAAACAAACAAACAAACAAACAAACAAACCAAGGUAGCAUUUGGUCAGCUCUAGUUAGGGCAGAAAAGGGACAUUUCUGGUUACCAGUCUGAGGGAGGACCUUGUUGAUAGGAUGGGUUCUAUUCCAAGCGUAAAGAUUUCAGGGGAAAGGAAACACAGGACAUUUACAAGCCCACAGAUUUAAGGAAGAAUUUUCAAGGUGUCCUGAACAUCUUUCUAAAAUGAAUCUCUCCUCUCCUCUUUGUCUAUCUCUGCAUGUGAAUAAGUGAAUGUGUGUGUCAGUAUCUAUCUAUCUAUCUAUCUAUCUAUCUAUCUAUCUAUCUAUCUAUCUAUCUAUCUAUCUAUCUACAAGGCUGGCCCUGACCUAACAAAGAUCCACCUGCCUUUGCCUGUGCCCUUAAUUGUAGGUGUGCACUAUUAUACCUGGCUUUCCCUGUGCUUUUAUUGGUACAAAAACAAACUGAAAUGAUCCAAGCAGGAGACAAACCAUACUUACUAAAGUGUCUGUUUCAGUCAAGCUGUCAUCUUGGUUUUUAAUCCAAGUAGACUUAACUUUUUCUAAAGCUGCCAAUUCCAUCUGUAAAAUAGUAAUCAUCAUCAUCACAUCAUCAUCAUCAUCACCACCAUCACCAUCACCACCACCAUCAUCAUCAUCAUUUCAUAAUCCAAGUAACUAGCACUCUAACUUUUUAGGUCUCCCGAGAAGCUUAAAAUACUUUCACUUUAUCUUCAACCUCAUACAGUCUUUAGGGCUUUCAUCUUUUGAGAGGGGGUGAGAUGUUUUUUGUGAAAACUCAGCCUCAGAAAGGCCAAUUUACUUUAAGAAAUUAUUAAGUAUGGAUUGGAGAGAUGGCUUGGUGAGCACUGGCUGAGAACUUGCAGACAACCUGGGUUUGAUUUCUAGCGCCCCCAUCGAAUAGUCCACAACUGCUUGUAACUCCAGUUCAAGGAUUCAAUACCUUUUCUAGCCUCUGAAGGCAAUCAUACUCAAAUGAACAUUCUCAUACACAUACAUAAAAUAAAUAUUUUAAAAAACAUUAAGUAAAUAAUAUACAGAGGUGCAGAACUAGAAACUCCAUUUGUUUAUUUAUUUUUUUCUAGGUAAGAUUUUGGUGUGUAGUCCUGGAUGUUCUGGAUCUUGCUCUGGUAGACCUGGCUGGCCUCAAAACUCAACAGAUCACCUGUCUAACCUCCUGAGUACUAGGGCAAAAGGCAUGUGCCACCAUACCUGGCUCGGAGCCAGACAUUCCAACUCUCAGUUACGUCGCUAGGGUAAAAGGGCUUGAUGUUAAAUGGUGGUUUUCUGUUGGAUUUACAAAAUCUGGACACUUUUGCAUCAAAAGGACACAUGGCGCUGUCUCUGCUUCUCAGAGAAGGGAGACUCUCACAGUUUUAGACUUUCAUUUUGAGACUAAAGAUAUCAAUGGUAGUUAAAUGCUUUUGCUUGGUAGAUGCAUCCAGAAAACCAGCCCUCUAACAACAUAUUAAGCAAAAAAGGUCCCAUAUGAAGUUUUCAGGUGUGAGUUAGUUCUCCACUAUCCUAUUAGCAUUUCUCAUAAAUGUGAAGAGUUUAUUAAGCACACACAGAAGGACAAACAAGAUCAUUCAUAUUUGCUAAAUCUGGUCAGACAAGCAUCUCAGUCAGUUAUGGGUAACAGAGUACAGCAGUUAGGGAGGCACUGGUGCCAGAGAAUUUCUUUCUUCUAUGGAACCAAAGGAUGAAGAAGAUACUUAGGAUAUCUCAUUUAAUCUCAACUACUCAAAAUCCUUUCUCUUUGUAAAAUAUAUACAGCUGGAAAUGGCAGGCUAAUUAAGUUCAGGAUGCCACUAAGUAAACUAACCAACAAGGACUACAAAAGCCGCCUCCUUAUGCUAUAUUCAAAGCUAGGGUGUUUCCACCCAGACUAACAUUUAGGGCUCCAUCUUCUGUGUGCUGCAUGGUGUUUAGGAGUUUAGCCUUGACUCUCCGGAUGCUAGUAGUAGCCCUUCCUGUUGGGCUAAAAUUCCUUAAAACAAUGACAAAUGUCUUUUGAGAGGCAGACCAUCCCUAGUGGAAAACCAACUUUUUUUUUGGGGGUGGGGGGUCGACCAAUUGGCCUCUUUUCUUUUUCCAUUUUAUUUUAUGUGAGUACACUGUCACUGUCUUCAGACACACCAGAAGAGGGCAUCAGAUCCCAUUACAGAUGGUUGUGAGCCACCAUGUGGUUGCUGGGAAUUGAACUCAGGACCUCUGGAAGAGCAGACAGUGCUCUUAACAACUGAGCCAUCUCUCCAGCCUGGAAAAAACACUCUUUUCUUUUUUUUUUUUUUCUGGAGCUGGGGACCAAACCCAGGACCUUGCACUUGCUAGGCAAGCUCUCUACCACUGAGUUAAAUCCCCAACCCAUUGAAAAACACUCUUAAAUUCAUCUGCAAGACAAAUCUGACACACUUGAGCUAGAGGUAGUAACAUCAGAGCUUGAAAUGGCAUGACCUGUGUAAUGACUCACAGCCACACAGAACAGGCUACCUCCAGAGGGCAUAGUCAGCCUACUUACACUGAUUAACCAAUAUUAACUCACAGUCCAGAAUCCCAGAAAAGCCCUGCUUAGUUGAACCUAGGUAGAAGCUCACUCUGGGAGUUCAGAAAGAAUUUCCAUUGGGCAGUCUCAAGAUAGCAUGACUUGUCAACCCUGAGGUAGCUAUACUGUUUUCAUGGCAGUGUGGAAACAUUUGGGGAUAGCUACUUCCCCACUUCUAUAGGAGCUUCAUUAAGGUGUGUGACAAAGAGGAACUGGAGCAAACUCCUGACUCUUGAAGCUUCUGUUCCUGUUCCAAUACUGUCUGAAGGGCUGGGCUGGUGUAGCUCAAUGACUUCAGCAUGUUAGGUGAAGUACUAGUCUCUAACACUUUUGCACCAAGAGGACACAGAGCCAGCUGGCGCUGGCUCUGUGUGUGCAGAGAACAGAGACUCUUAGUUUCAGACUUCCAUUUUGUCUGGCUGAGUCUUGGGCAGGUGUCCUGAAUCACUAUCAGGCUUUACUCUUACAAGCAUAGAGAACCAAAUAAUGUUACAAUUGUGUGUUUCAGUUUUGAGAAAAUCAACAACUGUUACAAUUUGUAUCAGCAGAAAUUCUUUCUGGUUCUAGUAAUAAAGUGAGUGCUCUACGAAUUUGGGGCCUAAAAGUGGGAGAUUUAGAAACCCUGCAACUGGGGUUGGGGAUUUAGCUCAGUGGUAGAGCGCUUGCCUAGGAAGCGCAAGGCCCUGGGUUCGGUCCCCAGCUCCGGAAAAAAAGAACCAAAAAAAAAAAAAAAAAGAAAAAGAAAAAAAAAAAAAGAAACCCUGCAAUUAGGGGUUGGGGAUUUAGCUCAGUGGUAGAGCGCUUGCCUAGCAAGCACAAGGCCCUGGGUUCGGUCCUCAGCUCCGAGAAAAAAAAAAAAAAAAAAAAAAAAAAAAAAAAAAAAAAAAAAAAAGAAA